GAUGAACGCUGGCGGCGUGCCUAAUACAUGCAAGUCGAGCGAACAGACGAGGAGCUUGCUCCUCUGACGUUAGCGGCGGACGGGUGAGUAACACGUGGAUAACCUACCUAUAAGACUGGGAUAACUUCGGGAAACCGGAGCUAAUACCGGAUAAUAUAUUGAACCGCAUGGUUCAAUAGUAAAGACGGUUUUUCCUUUCCUUUUAAAUGGAUCCGCGCCGCAUUAGCUAGUUGGUAAGGUAACGGCUUACCAAGGCAACGAUGCGUAGCCGACCUGAGAGGGUGAUCGGCCACACUGGAACUGAGACACGGUCCAGACUCCUACGGGAGGCAGCAGUAGGGAAUCUUCCGCAAUGGGCGAAAGCCUGACGGAGCAACGCCGCGUGAGUGAUGAAGGUCUUCGGAUCGUAAAACUCUGUUAUUAGGGAAGAACAAAUGUGUAAGUAACUAUGCACGUCUUGACGGUACCUAAUCAGAAAGCCACGGCUAACUACGUG
rnacentral:rRNA from 1 species